CGCCUCUUGAUUAAACAUAAGAGGUCCAGCCUGCCCAGUGACAUAGUUUAACGGCCGCGGUACCCUAACCGUGCGAAGGUAGCAUAAUCACUUGUUCUUUAAAUAGGGACUCGUAUCAACGGCAUCACGAGGGCUAUACUGUCUCCUUUCUCCAAUCAAUGAAACUGAUCUCCCCGUGAAGAAGCGGGGAUUAACCUAUAAGACGAGAAGACCCCAUGGAGCUUCAAACUCAACAUAUACCUCUACGCACUUAAACCACUUUAGCCCAAGAGACCUCUAUGUUAGUUUUGGGUUGGGGGGACCGCGGAGUAAAAAUUAACCUCCACGACAAACGGGCUUUAUGCCCUUAUCCACGAACUACAACUCUAAGAAUCAAUAAACUGAUGUUUAUGACCCGAUUAUUCGAUCAACGAACCAAGUUACCCUGGGGAUAACAGCGCAAUCUACUUCAAGAGCCCCUAUCGACAAGUAGGUUUACGACCUCGAUGUUGGAUCAGGGUAUCCUAGUGGUGCAGCCGCUACUAAUGGUUCGUUUGUUCAACGAUUAAAACCCU
rnacentral:rRNA from 1 species